UUACCUCUGACAUGCAGAGAAGUUGCCUCUUCCCAGAGACAGGCACGUCUCUUCCUAAGAAUGGCUGGGAGACUAGAAUGGCAGCUGUCUCAGAGAAAAUGCAAGUCACUGGGGGCAGGAAAAAGAGGAGACACAGGACAGCCGGCUCCCUCCGCUGCCUUUUCACCUUUUCUCUACUUCCUAAACCACCCCCUUGGCUGCCUUGUUGGCAGAUGUGAACUGGAAAAGCCUGCUUGGGGUGCCAUGUGAAGAUCAGCCCCACUGCAUCGGACCUUGCUGGAGGACUCAUCACC
rnacentral:lncRNA from 1 species